ensembl:lncRNA novel transcript
AGAGUGAAGCUGCUUUGGCGUAUCCUGAUGAGCAAAGCAAGGCUUAAAGAGCUAAGGAGACUGUGGGAAUGAAGGUUUCGAAGUGGUCUGAAUGGAGAAAGAAGCGGUGGGAGAGCUGAGUCAUCAUGCAGCACACGGCAAGGUAGCAGAAAACCCUGGAGAACAACAGCAGCCUGCCCCAGAGUCAGCCGUGAGCGCUGAUUUAGUUUCAGGAAAACAAUAACACUUUGUCCCAUUAAAUUAAUGUUGUUAAUUUGAAGUUUA